UAGAGAAAGUCAAACACAGUUAUUGAAUAGUCUCAAGAAGCAAGUUACGAACUCUCUUUAGGGACGUUGUGUGUAUCGUCGGAGUGAUCUCUGCAGAGUCAACAUCCGCUCAGUACGCUAACUGCCGAGUGACAUUGUGUAAACUCCCGUUGCUACUUUUGAAGCUUAUCCAGGAUUGCCGCAAGUAAACACGUCACGCCGAAGCUCCGAGCCGCUUUUCAGGAUCCCCAUCAGGUGAUGAUGAGUAACGACGCAGAAAUUCCUGCAGAACUUCAGAGUAAGAACUCUCCCGUUGACAGCCGCUUCCUCAACUCCUGCCUAAGACGCUGUGGAUCGAACAAAUUCAAUGCUUUGCCUCAAGAAACUCAGUUUGAUCAUCCUUCACCGUACACACGUCUUUGAUUCCAGCUGUCGUUUGCAGUCUUGGGAAAAGCGUGAUUGAAAACUACUGCGGGGGCGGAAUCAUCUUGACGUGGCGUAAUCGCCGCCGAAGGUCGGCAUGUUUGCAGUUCCAGUAAAAUGUUUUUCAUCUACGCAAAGCCUCCUGGAGAGCUCUUGCUUGCACAAGCUGUCGAUGGAGAAAUUUGACACAUUACCAACUUUUAUUAGGUUAGCCUUUGGCAGGCCGCAGGAAUUGUUUUGUAAAAAUGUUUUUGAUCGAUCCCGUUUCAUGUAGACGUCCCUUGUAUUGUUGACGUACUCGCUUUUAUGAGUUGAAUAACUCUGGCAAGGCAUGCAUUUGAUGAUAGUCUAAUAAAGAAAAUUCUGGCAGGUCU